AUUUAUAUAGUUUAAGUAAAACAAUACAUUUUCAUUGUAUAAAUAAUAUACCAAUAUUUAUAAAUA
rnacentral:tRNA from 1 species